rnacentral:rRNA from 1 species
GACGUAGGGCGCGAGCGUUGUCCGGAUUUAUUGGGCGUAAAGAGCGUGUAGGCGGCCAGGUAGGUCUGCUGUGAAAACUCGAGGCUCAACCUCGAGACGUCGGCGGAAACCAUCUGGCUAGAGUCCGGAAGAGGAGAGUGGAAUUCCUGGUGUAGCGGUGAAAUGCGCAGAUAUCAGGAAGAACACCCGUGGCGAAGGCGGCUCUCUGGGACGGUACUGGACGCUGAGACGCGAAAGCGUGGGGAGCGAACAGG